GUCGCGAGUCAGACGCGCCGUCGGAGGCAGAAGAUGCUUUCAUACCUGCAGCCGCUUCCUGGCGCUGGCGCUUAGCUUGAACCAGCCUCGGCCAGUCUGGGGCUCGUCAGACCUGCAGUGACUUGCUGACUGAAGUCGCGGACAUAGGUUGCCUCCUCCACAGACGUGCCGCACCUUGGCAGAUGUCACUCAUCAGAAGGCUGCUAGGGGAGUUCAUGCUUUCUCAGGGAAAUUCUAUGGGGGAAGAGAAGAAUCACCUGUAUGAUAACAACUGAUCUCUAGAUGCACAAAGGAACAUGAUUUCCAUCCUGAUCAAACCUGGUGAAGGCAGCCAUAAGAUCAUGCUCUGCAUGUCCCAGUCUGAGAAGAGAGUGAUGAAAUGACUUUUGUCACUUGAAUAUGGACUUCUCAUCCUUCUAUUAGGCUCUGAUGCUGAAGUUACCUUUCUGGCCAUCAAAAUAUUCCAACAUGUGCCAUCGACCUCUUCCAUACAAUGGCCUGCCAAUCACGGAAGCCAGAAACUUUUCAGUGUGAAAUACAAUUGUGUUCUUUACUGUGUUUCCUCCUAUCCCCUGCCUGUGUCUCCAUGAAUUAAUCAAAUAAAGAAAC